UAAUAUGGGGAGCUUGUGAGACAGGCUGAGAGGAAGCAAAAGCUUCGACCCAUGAACCUGAUGUGGAUAAUGCCAACGUAGGAAUAUUGAUAUGUAUU
rnacentral:ncRNA from 1 species